rnacentral:rRNA from 1 species
UACGAAGGGGGCUAGCGUUGCUCGGAAUCACUGGGCGUAAAGCGCGCGUAGGCGGCCUCAUAAGUCCGUUGUGAAAGUCAAAGGCUCAACCUUUGAAAGCCGAUGGAUACUGUGAGGCUAGAGUCCGGAAGAGGCGAGUGGAAUUCCUGGUGUAGCGGUGGAAUGCGCAGAUAUCAGGAGGAACACCAAUAGCGAAGGCAGCUCGCUGGGACGGUACUGACGCUAAGGCGCGAAAGCGUGGGGAGCGAACAGG